AGAACGCUGAGGAGAGGAGCUUGCCCUUCUUGGAAGAGUUGCGAACGGGUGAGUAACGCGUAGGUAACCUGCCUUGUAGCGGGGGAUAACUAUUGGAAACGAUAGCUAAUACCGCAUAACAAUGGGUGACCCAUGUCAUUCAUUUGAAAGGGGCAACUGCUCCACUACAAGAUGGACCUGCGUUGUAUUAGCUAGUAGGUGAGGUAACGGCUCACCUAGGCGACGAUACAUAGCCGACCUGAGAGGGUGAUCGGCCACACUGGGACUGAGACACGGCCCAGACUCCUACGGGAGGCAGCAGUAGGGAAUCUUCGGCAAUGGGGGCAACCCUGACCGAGCAACGCCGCGUGAGUGAAGAAGGUUUUCGGAUCGUAAAGCUCUGUUGUAAGUCAAGAACGAGUGUGAGAGUGGAAAGUUCACACUGUGACGGUAGCUUACCAGAAAGGGACGGCUAACUACGUGCCAGCAGCCGCGGUAAUACGUAGGUCCCGAGCGUUGUCCGGAUUUAUUGGGCGUAAAGCGAGCGCAGGCGGUUUGAUAAGUCUGAAGUUAAAGGCUGUGGCUCAACCAUAGUUCGCUUUGGAAACUGUCAAACUUGAGUGCAGAAGGGGAGAGUGGAAUUCCAUGUGUAGCGGUGAAAUGCGUAGAUAUAUGGAGGAACACCGGUGGCGAAAGCGGCUCUCUGGUCUGUAACUGACGCUGAGGCUCGAAAGCGUGGGGAGCGAACAGG
rnacentral:rRNA from 1 species